rnacentral:rRNA from 1 species
UACGGGAGGCAGCAGUGGGGAAUAUUGCACAAUGGGCGCAAGCCUGAUGCAGCCAUGCCGCGUGUAUGAAAAAGGCCUUCGGGUUGUAAAGUACUUUCAGUCGUGAGGAAGGUGUUAAGGUUAAUAACCUUAGCAAUUGACGUUAGCGACAGAAGAAGCACCGGCUAACUCCGUGCCAGCAGCCGCGGUAAUACGGAGGGUGCGAGCGUUAAUCGGAAUUACUGGGCGUAAAGGGCACGCAGGCGGUUAAUUAAGUUGGAUGUGAAAUCCCCGGGCUUAACCUGGGAAUGGCAUUCAAGACUGGUUAGCUAGGGUCUUGUAGAGGGGGUAGAAUUCCAUGUGUAGCGGUGAAAUGCGUAGAGAUGUGGAGGAAUACCGGUGGCGAAGGCGGCCCCUGGACAAAGACUGACGCUCAUGUGCGAAAGCGUGGGGAGCAAACAGGGAUUAGAUACC